AGCGAACGCUGGCGGCAGGCCUAACACAUGCAAGUCGAACGAACCUUUCGGGGUUAGUGGCGGACGGGUGAGUGCCACGUGGGAACGUGCCUUUAGGUUCGGAAUCACUCAGGGAAACUUGUGCUAAUACCGAAUGUGCCCUUCGGGGGAAAGAUUUAUCGCCUUUAGAGCGGCCCGCGUCUGAUUAGCUAGUUGGUUGAGGUAAUGGCCCACCAAGGCGACGUUCAGUGGCUGGGCGGAGCGGAUGAUCAGCCACAUUGGGACUGAGACACGGCCCAAACUCCUACGGGAGGGAGCAGUGGGGAAUCUUGCGCAAUGGGCGAAAGCCUGACGCAGCCAUGCCGGGUGAAUGAUGAAGGUCUUAGGAUUGUAAAAUUCUUUCACCGGGGACGAUAAUGACGGUACCCGGAGAAGAAGCCCCGGCUAACUUCGUG
rnacentral:rRNA from 1 species